GACGAACGUUGGCGGCGUGCUUAAUACAUGCAAGUCAACUGAAGCACCGGUAGUAAUACUGGUGUGGAGGUGGCGCACGGGUGAGUAACACGUAGGUAAUCUGCCUUCAGGUCUGACAUAACCCCGAGAAAUCGGGGCUAAUAGCAGAUGAUGCAGCGGCUUGACAUCAAGACAGUUGUUAAAGCUUCGGCGCCUGAAGAUGAGCCUGCGUCUGAUUAGCUAGUUGGCGGAGUAAUAGCCCACCAAGGCGACGAUCAGUAGCUGGUCUGAGAGGAUGAUCAGCCACACUGGAACUGAGACACGGUCCAGACUCCUACGGGAGCAGCAGUAAGGAAUAUUGCUCAAUGGGAGAAAUCCUGAAGCAAGCAACGCCGACGUUGAGGGAUGAAAGGGCUUUUGCUCGUAAACCUCUGUAGUGAGGG
rnacentral:rRNA from 1 species